UACGGAGGGUGCAAGCGUUAAUCGGAAUUACUGGGCGUAAAGCGUGCGCAGGCGGUUUGUUAAGUCCGUUGUGAAAGCCCCGAGCUCAACUUGGGAAUUGCAGUGGAUACUGGCAGGCUGGAGUACGGUAGAGGAAGGUGGAAUUCCCGGUGUAGCAGUGAAAUGCGUAGAGACCGGAGGAACACCAGUCGGCGAAGGCGGCGUCCUGCCUGCGACUGACGCUGUGGCGCGAAAGCUAGGGGAGCGAACGGG
rnacentral:rRNA from 1 species